AGUCCCAUUGGGUGGCGCACAAUUGGCCCAGCGUCGUCCGGGUUAGGUCGGUGGUGAAUGGGGACAGCGGUGCAAAGGAGGAAUCUAGCAUCAACUCCAAGAGCUCCAGCGACAUCCGCACGGCGUCAUUGGCAGAGGAGCAGAUAAUGAUGAAGAUGGCUAUCACCAGAGCCAAGAUGAAAGCGAGGAAGAUUCAGGGAGGCCACCGGGUCAAAGCCUUCUGAGUUUGACCAUUGGAAGUGUCUAUUUCUUCUGCAUCCGAAGAUACCAAUUCUUAAUCAGAGAGGUACGUGGGGCUGCCUUAAUCGACAUCCACAUCAUCGGUGCCCGGGGGGCAUGUAACUGCUGUUGGAAGGAGAGGACCAAAACGCAGCAUGUCGCCUGGGGAGUUGCCUGGCCAUCAUCUGCCCUAGUGGAGGCAGUACCAGGAAGAACUACUCCUUUAGCAACGACGAGGUGCGGCAGACCGACUGGGAGAACCAGAGGCUGCUGCGUCAGUUGUCGCGCCCCUCGACCCACUCGCGACCAGGCAGCACUAGUAGCUCCCGUAGGAGAUCCAAUGGAGGAUGAGGGAGUCCGCCCCCUGUCCGCCUCUACCACAGUGCCCUCAACAGGCAGCGUGAGCAGCAGCGCAUCGAGAAGGAGGACCUGGUGUGUGUUCUUCUCUUUUUGUAUGUUUAACUUAUCUUUUGUCAUUGGGUGUUUGGCUUUAUUGUUUCAAAUGUUACAUUGCGUUUAUUGGGAUUUUUGUUUAUUUCAAGCUCAAAUGAGUCAAGACUUGCUUCAAAGUGGAAAUACAGUGUUGUGAAAAAGUAUUUGCCCCUUUUCUGAUUUUCUCUAUUUUUGCAGCUAACAACCAGUUUUUGAGUGUAAGGGGGCAAUUACU